rnacentral:rRNA from 1 species
CGGUAAUUCCAGCUCCAAUAGCGUAUACUAACGUUGUUGCAGUUAAAAAGCUCGUAGUUGGAUUUCUGGACGAUGACGUUUGGGUGGAGCUUCGUUGUUCCACUGAUCGUUCAUUGUUCAAAAUUUGUGAAAAGUCUUCAUGAUUCAUUCGUUUGGAUCUGUUGAUUAAUCACUCGUUUACUUUGAGAAAAUUAGAGUGUUCAAAGCAGGCAAUCGCCUUGAAUAUGUUAGCAUGGAAUAAUAACAUAGGACUUUUGUUCUAUUUGUUGGUUGUUCGAGAACGGGAGUAAUGAUUGAUAGGGACGGUUGGGGGCAUCCGUAUUCCCGAGCGAGAGGUGAAAUUCUUGGACCUUGGGAAGACGAACAGAUGCGAAAGCGUUUGCCAAGGACGUUCUCUUUAAUCAAGAACGAAAGCUAGGGGAUCGAAGACGAUCAGAUACCGUCGUAGUCUCAACUAUAAACUAUGCCAGCUAGGGAUCGGCGGGAUCUUGUCACGGAUCCGUCGGCACCUUACGAGAAAUCAAAGCAUUUGGGUUCCGGGGGGAGUAUGGUCGCAAGGCUGAAACUUAAAGGAAUUGACGGAAGGGCACCACCAGGAGUGGAGCCUGUGGCUUAAUUUGACUCAACACGGGAAAACUUACCAGGUCCGGACAUAGUAAGGAUUGACAGAUUGAAAGCUCUUUCUUGAUUCUAUGGGUGGUGGUGCAUGGCCGUUCUUAGUUGGUGGAGUGAUUUGUCUGGUUAAUUCCGUUAACAAACGAGACCCGCGCCUGCUAAAUAGCUUGCGUACUACGGUACCGUUAGCUUCUUAGAGGGACCAUCCUGCGUCUAGCGGAAGGAAGUUGCGGGCAAUAACAGGUCUGUGAUGCCCUUAGAUGUUCUGGGCCGCACACGGGCUACACUGGAGGGUACAACGAGCUUUACGCCGUACCGAAAGGUAAGGCCAAUCUUUGAAUACCCUCCGUGAUUGGGAUAGACCCUUGCAAUUUUUGGUCUUCAACGAGGAAUUCCUAGUAAACGCGUGUCAACAACACGCAUUGAUUACGUCCCUGCUCUUUGUACACACCGCCC